CGAACGUGAAACCGCCGCCGAUUUGGCGGUCGUGGGCGGCUGUUGUGUCCCCCUGGCGGCGCGCCUGGAAAGCUGUAGUUGGAUCGCGAGAGUCGGUCGGUGGCGCCGAGUGGUCGGCCAUGGCCAUUGUCGUUGAUAAGCGUGUGGGAUAUGCCACGUGUCGCUCUCGUAUCGCAAUCGUCGUAUCGUAUCGUGUCGAUGUGUUCGGGUUGAAAAUACGACCUAAAGCUAACGUCAUUCGUUUCGUUUCGUAACAUAUGGUGCCGAAACUACCCGGGAUCGGUUGGAAUCGCUCGUGAAAUGGCCGAUCUUGAGAAACUGAAGCGGCGCAAGAUAAGCGCUCAAGGGUGGCUCACUCGAACAGUUGUGAAACUCGAGCAAAGCCUGUCUUUGAAGGAGGUUAAAGUGAUUGACCUCGAAAGUUUGCUCUGUGACUUUGAUAAGCGGCUGAGUGAUUUUGAUGUUGCUGAGGAGCUACUCGAGCAAGAGCUUCCAGAAGAUGGCAUCAUGGAAGCCAUCGAAGCCGCUGGUGAGAUCAGAGACCGUGCUGUGGAUGUGCGAAACAAAGCCCAGCAAACUCUUGGUGUUCUUAAGGUGAAGGAUGGGGCUGAUGACUCGGCUUCUUGUGCCAGUGCGUCUCAGCUUGGAUCAGCUGAUCCUUCCGUCAAGCUCCCAAAGCUUCAGUUGCCCAAGUUUUCUGGCAACGUGCUUGAGUGGCCUCAGUUUUGGGAUGCUUUUUCUGUGACUGUGGAUGCCAGUGACUUACCCGAGGUGACCAAGCUGACAUAUCUCAGAUCCUUGCUGACUGGAGAAGCAGCAAAGAGUGUCGAGGGUCUUGCGUUGUCAAAGGUGAACUACAAGACAACCUGUGAGAUUCUCAAGGACAGGUUUGGCAGAAAGGAGCAGAUUAUAUACAACCAUAUUCAGGCGCUCCUGCAGUCGAGUUGUGAUAAGAAGUCUGAAGGCCUUAAGUCUUUCCAGGAUGAACUCUUAGUUCAUGUCAGGAGUCUGGAGAACUUGGACAUUACUGGUGAGAGGUAUGGCGUCGUGCUGACACCUAUCAUUGUGUCACGCCUGCCUGAAGUGAUUCGGAUGGAAUGGGCCAGGAAGAGUGCUGGUAAGGAAGCUGACUUGGAGUUUCUGUUAGAGUUCUUGAAGGAGGAGAUUCAGUGCCGUGAACGCUCACAGACAUUCAAGUGUGGUGCAAUGGCCAGUGAUUCUGGAAGAGAGACGGAGAAGAAGAGAGAUCAUCAAGCAGGCCGAUUUGCUGGUCAGAGACAGAGAGUGGCUGCAGCGUCAGUGCUUCACACUGCUGCUGCCAGGUCUAACUGUGGGAUUUGCCAUGACUCCCACCCGCCGGCCAAGUGUCCGGAAUUGCUGAAGCUGGCUGUAAGGGACAGGCCAGGGAAGAUAAGAGACUCAGGUUUGUGUUUUCGAUGCCUCAAGGAGGGCCACAGAGGUAACUCGUGCGGUGCGAGGUGUGAUAACUGUCGAGCACGAGCUGCUCAAACACUGCGGUGUUGACACCCUCCUGACGACCCUGAGGAAUGAGUACUGGAUCGUUGGAGGGAGGAGAGCGGCCAAAAGGGUGAAGCGGGCCUGCACAGCGUGUCAGAGGCAAGAUGCUGCUGCCCUCAACGCGCCAGUGGCGCCUCUACCGGCUCAGCGGGCUAGUAAGGCUCCGCCUUUCUCAGUGACGGGCGUUGAUUUUUGUGGCCCGCUCUUCUGCUUGCCCAAGCAGAAGGUGUAUGUCUGUCUAUUCACAUGCGCUGUAACCAGAGCUAUUCACCUUGAGUUGACGGAUUCCAUGUCCCAGUCAGAAUUUUUGCUGGCGUUCAGAAGGUUCUGUGCCAGACGUGGUACCCCUACGAUGAUGUAUUCGGACAACGCCAAGACGUUUAGAGCCGCGGCUACCAGCCUGUUAGCUGAGCUGGGUCCGGCGGGCCCAGAGUGGAAGUUUAUUGCCCCCCGCGCGGCAUGGUGGGGCGGUCACUGGGAGCGGUUAGUUCGUACUGUUAAGAGCUCCCUGAGAAAGACUCUCGGCAGGAGCGUCCUCUCCAAGGUGGAGCUGGAAACGCUGCUUUUGGAGGUGGAGGCCUGUGUAAAUUCUCGUCCACUAACCUUUGUCAGUGAUGAUGUGGACGGAGCUCGGCCUCUAACCCCGAGUCACUUUCUGUCCGGCAGAGUAGCCGGUGUUCGUGCGUUUGUGGUUGAUGAUUCGGACCAGGUUUCAGCGUCGUCCCUGACGGAGAGGGACGUUGAGCACCAGAACAUGUUGGCGAAGUUCUGGAGUGUGUGGCAGACUGACUACCUCCGCAGCCUGCCGCAUUCGGUUAAGAAGUUUAAGUCUCGUGGGAAGCUCCAGAUAGGUUCCGUUGUUCUCAUUCGGGAGGACAAUGUCCCGAGGCUGCACUGGUUGAUGGGAGUAGUAGAACACCUUCAUCCGGGCAGUGAUGGUGUCGUGAGAGCCGCCGACGUCAGGACGGCUCAGGGCGUUCGUACGCGGCCAGUACAGCGUCUGCAUGACUUGGAAGUCUUGGAUUAGGAGUAGCUCAAGUUCCGAUGUACCGUGCCUUUGAUGAAGCGUUGCGCGCAUUGUCAUCGUUGCGAGUGUUAUUUUAUCGUGUAUAUCGUCGUGUGUUAGUAUUAAGUGAAGUGUCGUAUCUCGUUUGCUGUUAGACCGUUAAUGUAUGUUACCGUUCUAACAGGCGGGGAGUGUUACCGAACGUGAAACCGCCGCCGAUUUGGCGGUCGUGGGCGGCUGUUGUGUCCCCCUGGCGGCGCGCCUGGAAAGCUGUAGUUGGAUCGCGAGAGUCGGUCGGUGGCGCCGAGUGGUCGGCCAUGGCCAUUGUCGUUGAUAAGCGUGUGGGAUAUGCCACGUGUCGCUCUCGUAUCGCAAUCGUCGUAUCGUAUCGUGUCGAUGUGUUCGGGUUGAAAAUACGACCUAAAGCUAACGUCA
rnacentral:misc_RNA from 1 species